rnacentral:precursor_RNA from 15 species
UAUCAAGUUAAAAAACGAAAUCAUGUUAGAUCCUGGACAAAUAUGAAGUAAAUUGUUUUUAUGCAUCAAUUACUUGAUAUUCAUCCUUGAACUAAAUGGUUUUAGAGCUGCAAGAAAAAUUG